AAAUUAGGGUUCUAUAAUAUAAUAUUACGCACCGCACAUCUUUUUCUUAAGAUUCAUUCAUAAAACAAUGUUUCAUUCAAGCAAAUUAAUUGGUUGAGCAAAAAAUUUGAUUCGUGCAAAUUAAUUAUAAGCCCUGGUACUGCAAAUAAAAUCGAUCGCAGCAUAUCCACAAAUUGGAGAAAAUAUCACCGACAUGAAAAUCGAUUUGCCAAAGAGAUUAACGAUAGCCAUGAUAUGCACAAAAGCAAGUAUUAGGUGAUCUUUCAAUUCAUCAAAAUUAGGGUUCUAAAUCAUAUAAUAGAAGCUCUGAUACCACAUGUAAUAAAUUAAUAAUUUAGAGAUCGAUAUAUUAUAUGAAAUUAGAACACACUUACUUGAUAAU
rnacentral:lncRNA from 1 species